UUUUUGAAUUUAAUUUAAAGUCUAACCUGCCCACUGAAAAUUUUAAAUGGCCGCAGUAUUUUAACUGUGCAAAGGUAGCAUAAUCAUUAGUCUUUUAAUUAAAGGCUGGAAUGAAUGGUUGAAUGAAAUAUUAACUGUUUCAUAUAAAUUAAUAAAUGAAUUUUAUUUUUUAGUUAAAAAGCUAAAAUAUUAUUAAAAGACGAGAAGACCCUAUAAAUCUUGAUAUUUUUCUUUAUUUUAAUUAUAUUGAUUAAUUUAAUUAUAAUAAAUAAAUAUAUUUUAUUGGGGUGAUAUUAAAAUUUAAUAAACUUUUAAUUAAAAAUUAACAUAAAUUAAUGAAUUAUUGAUCCAUUUUUAAUGAUUAAAAAAUUAAGUUACUUUAUGGAUAACAGCGUAAUUUUUUUAGAGAGUUCAUAUUGAUAAAAA
rnacentral:rRNA from 1 species